rnacentral:rRNA from 1 species
CCCGCGGUGUAUUAGCUAGUUGGUAAGGUAAUGGCUUACCAAGGCAAUGAUACAUAGCCGAGUUGAGAGACUGAUCGGCCACAAUGGGACUGAGACACGGCCCAUACUCCUACGGGAGGCAGCAGUAGGGAAUCUUCCACAAUGGACGAAAGUCUGAUGGAGCAACGCCGCGUGUGUGAUGAAGGGUUUCGGCUCGUAAAACACUGUUGUAAGAGAAGAAUGACAUUGAGAGUAACUGUUCAGUGUGUGACGGUAUCUUACCAGAAAGGAACGGCUAAAUACGUGCCAGCAGCCGCGGUAAUACGUAUGUUCCAAGCGUUAUCCGGAUUUAUUGGGCGUAAAGCGAGCGCAGACGGUUAUUUAAGUCCGAAGUGAAAGCCCACAGCUUAACUGUGGAAGUGCUUUGGAAACUGGAUAACUUGAGUGCAGUAGAGGAGAGUGGAACUCCAUGUGUAGCGGUGAAAUGCGUAGAUAUAUGGAAGAACACCAGUGGCGAAGGCGGCUCUCUGGACUGUAACUGACGUUGAGGCUCGAAAGUGUGGGUAGCAAACAGGAUUAGAUACCCUGGUAGUCCACACCGUAAACGAUGAGUGCUAGAUGUUUGAGGGUUUCCGCCCUUAAGUGUCGCAGCUAACGCAUUAAGCACUCCGCCUGGGGAGUACGACCGCAAGGUUGAAACUCAAAGGAAUUGACGGGGACCCGCACAAGCGGUGGAGCAUGUGGUUUAAUUCGAAGCAACGCGAAGAACCUUACCAGGUCUUGACAUCCUUUGACCACUUCAGAGAUGAAGCUUUCCCUUCGGGGACAAAGUGACAGGUGGUGCAUGGUUGUCGUCAGCUCGUGUCGUGAGAUGUUGGGUUAAGUCCCGCAACGAGCGCAACCCUUAUUACUAGUUGCCAGCAUUCAGUUGGGCACUCUAGUGAGACUGCCGGUGACAAACCGGAGGAAGGUGGGGAUGACGUCAAAUCAUCAUGCCCCUUAUGACCUGGGCUACACACGUGCUACAAUGGCAAGUACAACGAGCAGCUAACCCGCGAGGGUACGCGAAUCUCUUAAAACUUGUCUCAGUUCGGAUUGUAGGCUGCAACUCGCCUACAUGAAGUCGGAAUCGCUAGUAAUCGCGGAUCAGCACGCCGCGGUGAAUACGUUCCCGGGUCUUGUACACACCGCCCGUCACACCAUGAGAGUUUGUAACACCCAAAGCCGGUGAGGUAACCUUUAGGAGCCAACCGU